GGGGGACGGAGAAGGCUAUGUUGGCCGGGCGACGGUUGUCCCGGUUUAAGCGUGUAGGUGUGUGUUCCAGGUAAAUCCGGUUCACUUUAACACUGAGGCGUGACGACGAGGCACUACGGUGCUGAAGCAACAAAUGCCCUGCUUCCAGGAAAAGCCUCUAAGCAUCAGGUAACAUCAAAUCGUACCCCAAACCGACACAGGUGGUCAGGUAGAGAAUACCAAGGCGCUUGAGAGAACUCGGGUGAAGGAACUAGGCAAAAUGGUGCCGUAACUUCGGGAGAAGGCACGCUGACACGUAGGUGAAGUGAUUUACUCAUGGAGCUGAAGUCAGUCGAAGAUACCAGCUGGCUGCAACUGUUUAUUAAAAACACAGCACUGUGCAAACACGAAAGUGGACGUAUACGGUGUGACGCCUGCCCGGUGCCGGAAGGUUAAUUGAUGGGGUCAGCGCAAGCGAAGCUCCUGAUCGAAGCCCCGGUAAACGGCGGCCGUAACUAUAACGGUCCUAAGGUAGCGAAAUUCCUUGUCGGGUAAGUUCCGACCUGCACGAAUGGCGUAAUGAUGGCCAGGCUGUCUCCACCCGAGACUCAGUGAAAUUGAACUCGCUGUGAAGAUGCAGUGUACCCGCGGCAAGACGGAAAGACCCCGUGAACCUUUACUAUAGCUUGACACUGAACAUUGAGCCUUGAUGUGUAGGAUAGGUGGGAGGCUUUGAAGUGUGGACGCCAGUCUGCAUGGAGCCGACCUUGAAAUACCACCCUUUAAUGUUUGAUGUUCUAACGUGGACCCGUGAUCCGGGUUGCGGACAGUGUCUGGUGGGUAGUUUGACUGGGGCGGUCUCCUCCUAAAGAGUAACGGAGGAGCACGAAGGUUGGCUAAUCCUGGUCGGACAUCAGGAGGUUAGUGCAAUGGCAUAAGCCAGCUUGACUGCGAGCGUGACGGCGCGAGCAGGUGCGAAAGCAGGUCAUAGUGAUCCGGUGGUUCUGAAUGGAAGGGCCAUCGCUCAACGGAUAAAAGGUACUCCGGGGAUAACAGGCUGAUACCGCCCAAGAGUUCAUAUCGACGGCGGUGUUUGGCACCUCGAUGUCGGCUCAUCACAUCCUGGGGCUGAAGUAGGUCCCAAGGGUAUGGCUGUUCGCCAUUUAAAGUGGUACGCGAGCUGGGUUUAGAACGUCGUGAGACAGUUCGGUCCCUAUCUGCCGUGGGCGCUGGAGAACUGAGGGGGGCUGCUCCUAGUACGAGAGGACCGGAGUGGACGCAUCACUGGUGUUCGGGUUGUCAUGCCAAUGGCACUGCCCGGUAGCUAAAUGCGGAAGAGAUAAGUGCUGAAAGCAUCUAAGCACGAAACUUGCCCCGAG
rnacentral:rRNA from 1 species